rnacentral:rRNA from 1 species
AACGAACGCUGGCGGCAGGCCUAAAACAUGCAAGUCGAACGAACCUUCGGGUUAGUGGCGCACGGGUGCGUAACGCGUGGGAAUAUGCCCUUCACUGCGGAACAACGUCGGGAAACUGACGCUAAUACCGCAUAAUGACUACGGUCCAAAGAUUGAUCGGUGAAGGAUUAGCCCGCGUCUGAUUAGGUAGUCGGUGAGGUAAUGGCUCACCAAGCCGACGAUCAGUAGCUGGUCUGAGAGGAUGAUCAGCCACACUGGGACUGAGACACGGCCCAGACUCCUACGGGAGGCAGCAGUUAGGAAUAUUGGACAAUGGGGGAAACCCUGAUCCAGCCAUGCCGCGUGUGUGAAGAAGGCCUUAGGGUUGUAAAGCACUUUCGUCUGUGAAGAUAAUGACAGUAGCAGAAGAAGAAGCUCCGGCUAAAUUCGUGCCAGCCGCCGCCGUAA